GAUGAACGCUGGCGGCGUGCCUAAUACAUGCAAGUCGAGCGAACAGAUGAGGAGCUUGCUCCUCUGACGUUAGCGGCGGACGGGUGAGUAACACGUGGAUAACCUACCUAUAAGACUGGGAUAACUUCGGGAAACCGGAGCUAAUACCGGAUAAUAUAUUGAACCGCAUGGUUCAAUAGUGAAAGACGGUUUUGCUGUCACUUAUAGAUGGAUCCGCGCCGCAUUAGCUAGUUGGUAAGGUAACGGCUUACCAAGGCAACGAUGCGUAGCCGACCUGAGAGGGUGAUCGGCCACACUGGAACUGAGACACGGUCCAGACUCCUACGGGAGGCAGCAGUAGGGAAUCUUCCGCAAAGGGCGAAAGCCUGACGGAGCAACGCCGCGUGAGUGAUGAAGGUCUUCGGAUCGUAAGACUCUGUUAUUAGGGAAGAACAAAUGUGUAAGUAACUAUGCACGUCUUGACGGUACCUAAACAGAAAGCCACGGCUAACUACGUG
rnacentral:rRNA from 1 species